UGUGAGAGCGGGCUUGCUCGCGAUGCUAUCACCGCGGUUUUGCAGUCAGAACGCGGCGAUAGCAUCGCGAGCAAGCCCGCUCCCACA
rnacentral:ncRNA from 2 species